GAGGGUUGAUAGGUUAAGAGCUGAUGAACUGGACGUUACCCACAGAAGAAGCACCGGCUAACUCCGUGCCAGCAGCCGCGGUAAUACGGAGGGUGCGAGCGUUAAUCGGAAUUACUGGGCGUAAAGGGUGCGUAGGUGGUUUAAUAAGUUAGCUGUGAAAUCCCUGGGCUUAACCUGGGCAGGUCAGCUAAGACUGUUAGACUAGAGUAUAGGAGAGGGUAGUGGAAUUUCCGGUGUAGCGGUGAAAUGCGUAGAGAUCGGAAGGAACACCAGUGGCGAAGGCGUCUACCUGGCCGGAUACUGACACUGAGGCACGAAAGCGUGGGGAGCAAACAGGAUUAGAUACCCUGGUAGUCCACGCUGUAAACGAUGUCAACUAGCUGUUGGUCAUAUGAAGAUGAUUAGUGGCGGAGCAAACGCGAUAAGUUGACCA
rnacentral:rRNA from 1 species